UUGACCUCAUCCAUACAAGAGUACCCGCUGAACUUAAGCAUAUCAAUAAGCGGAGGAAAA
rnacentral:rRNA from 1 species